AUGAAUUUACGCACAUCUGCGUGUGCUCACAAGCGGCUAAAAUUGCUAAGACCGGUACCAACCCCUGUCACGGUCGUCUGCUUGGACCAACCAAGCCCGGUCGCCGUUUAUAAAACCUGCCUCCGACCCACGCACAGCCGAACCAACCGCGCCGCAACCACACCUGCACAAGAACGGCCCCGAAAAGAGAACGGCCCGAACAAAAAUAGUCUUUCCAUCCCGUUGUCUUGUCCGUUCCUUGGUUUCGUCGCCGCCAGCCCCCCGGCGAUCUCCGCGACCGCGACCCGCCGCCGCCGCAGAUCUCGCCGAGGAAGCCGCGCUCGGUUUCCCCGACCCGUCGGGACGUCCGCGCCUAUAAAACGCGGCCCUCCGCUCCCGGCUCGAGCUCCCCGAGGCCGAGGCGCUCUUCUCCCGCCCCGCCCCGCCCCGCCCAUAAUGGCCGCGUGCACGUCUCAGCAGGCGCUCAUCUCCGUCAAACCUCGGUGCGCUUCCGCCAGCUUCGGCCCCGACAGGAGGGCCGGCAGUGUGCGCUUUGUUUCAGCAACGAGCUGCUGCCCCGGCAGCCGGAAACUGGGCUUGGUCUGCGCGUCGAAUUCGCAAUCUUCGGUGAUUGAGCCGGCUAAGCUACCGUCCAGCCCCGAAAGCGGCAGCAAUCCCAAAAAAUCAAGUGAGGCUGCACUGAUAUUGAUUCGGCACGGGGAAUCAUUGUGGAACGAGAAAAAUCUGUUUACUGGCUGCGUCGAUGUGCCCCUGACCCCCAAGGGUGUCAAUGAGGCGAUCGAGGCGGGUAAAAGGAUAUGCAAUAUCCCAGUUGAUGUUAUAUACACCUCAUCACUAAUCCGUGCUCAGAUGACCGCCAUGCUUGCCAUGAUGCAGCAUCGUCGUAAGAAGGUUCCAAUUAUUGUGCACAAGGAGAGCGAACGGGCACACCAGUGGAGUCAGGUAUACAGCGAGGAGACAAAGAAGCAGUCCAUUCCUGUAAUAACAGCUUGGCAGUUGAAUGAACGAAUGUAUGGUGAACUGCAAGGUCUUAACAAGCAAGAAACGGCUGAUCUGUUUGGCAAAGAGCAAGUUCAUGAAUGGCGUCGUAGUUAUGACAUUCCUCCCCCAAAUGGAGAGAGCCUAGAGAUGUGUGCAGAGAGAGCAGUUUCUUAUUUCAAAGAGCAAAUUAUACCUCAGCUUGUGUCUGGAAAGCAUGUUAUGAUUGCUGCCCAUGGGAAUUCACUCCGUUCAAUUAUAAUGCAUCUGGACAAGUUGACUUCUCAAGAGGUAAUAAGCCUUGAGUUGUCGACCGGCAUUCCUAUGCUGUAUAUAUUUAAGGAAGGGAAAUUUAUCAGGCGGGGCAGUCCCGCAGGACCUUCUGAGGCAGGCGUCUAUGCUUAUACAAAGAGUUUGGCCAAGUAUAGACAGAAGCUUGACGGCAUGGAUCAGUAA
rnacentral:rRNA from 1 species